rnacentral:rRNA from 1 species
AAAUACAACCAGUAGCACUGGAUCCCUCGGCAUGCCAUUCGAUGAAGACCGUAGCGAGUUGCGAUAAGCGAUGUGAUAUGCGAGUCCCAAACUGAUACGUGAACCAUCGGAUCGUCGAACGCACUGCACCGAGGAUUGCCCAUCCACGGUAUACCACAUU